UACGGGGGGGGCAAGCGUUGUUCGGAAUUACUGGGCGUAAAGGGCUCGUAGGCGGCCAACUAAGUCAGACGUGAAAUCCCUCGGCUUAACCGGGGAACUGCGUCUGAUACUGGAUGGCUUGAGUUCGGGAGAGGGAUGCGGAAUUCCAGGUGUAGCGGUGAAAUGCGUAGAUAUCUGGAGGAACACCGGUGGCGAAGGCGGCAUCCUGGACCGAUUACUGACGCUGAGGAGCGAAAGCCAGGGGAGCAAACGGG
rnacentral:rRNA from 1 species